AUACGUGUAGGGUGGAGAUGCACAACCGUCGGACAGCGUAGCUACAGGCAUUACCCAGACGCUUCACAUUCGUCCGCACCGACCGGUUGAUUCCUCCCCUGACUGAGUGCUUCUGUCACCACAGCAAACAGGAGCGUUGUCGCGGCCCCAGGCCCCGUUGGCUUGGCCGCUGGACACCGGAGUGAUUUACGACCACUCCGAAAGACGCGCCCUGACACCGACCGUGAGAGUCGUGUGUGCCAAACGCCGUUUCCGGUAGCCCGGAAACCAU
rfam:Pseudomonas alcaligenes NBRC 14159 DNA, contig: PA6011.